rnacentral:rRNA from 1 species
GAACGGUAACAGGUCUUCGGAUGCUGACGAGUGGCGAACGGGUGAGUAAUACAUCGGAACGUGCCCAGUAAUGGGGGAUAGCUCGGCGAAAGCCGGAUUAAUACCGCAUACGCCCUGAGGGGGAAAGUGGGGGAUCGCAAGACCUCACGUUAUUGGAGCGGCCGAUGGCUGAUUAGCUAGUUGGUAGGGUAAAGGCCUACCAAGGCGACGAUCAGUAGCUGGUCUGAGAGGACGAUCAGCCACACUGGGACUGAGACACGGCCCAGACUCCUACGGGAGGCAGCGGUGGGGAAUUUUGGACAAUGGGGGAAACCCUGAUCCAGCAAUGCCGCGUGUGCGAAGAAGGCCUUCGGGUUGUAAAGCACUUUUGUCAGGGAAGAAAUCCUUUGGGCUAAUACCCUAGGGGGAUGACGGUACCUGAAGAAUAAGCACCGGCUAACUACGUGCCAGCAGCCGCGGUAAUACGUAGGGUGCAAGCGUUAAUCGGAAUUACUGGGCGUAAAGCGUGCGCAGGCGGUUGUGUAAGACAGGUGUGAAAUCCCCGGGCUUAACCUGGGAAUUGCAUUUGUGACUGCACGACUAGAGUGUGUCAGAGGGGGGUGGAAUUCCACGUGUAGCAGUGAAAUGCGUAGAUAUGU